AUGAUAAAGGAGGAGCGUGAGGAGUUUUCCUGUAAGAUGGCGAAGAUGCGUCUUGAGAUUGAAGAAAAGUAUAAGCGGGACUGUGAGGACAUGGAAAAAAAGUUUUUCCUUGGCUACAAGGAAAUGCAUCAAACGUUGCAGAAGGACCGGAAGCUUGUGGACAGUAUUAUACAGACAGAGCGAGUCAGGAUGGAUGCCUAUGUGUUGCAGGCAUGUUCGGAUAUGGACAGCAAGCUGCUACAGGAGCGGUCGGACAUGGAUUAUAAGGCCAUGCUGGAGAAGGUCCGUUUGGAAGGACAUAUGUUAGAAGCCCGCUAA
rnacentral:rRNA from 1 species